rnacentral:misc_RNA from 1 species
CUUUGCGGGCAGGGUUGA